UACGUAGGGCGCGAGCGUUAUCCGGAAUUAUUGGGCGUAAAGAGCUCGUAGGCGGUCUGUCGCGUCGGCUGUGAAAACUCGGGGCUCAACCCCGAGCCUGCAGUCGAUACGGGCAGACUUGAGUGCUGUAGGGGAGACUGGAAUUCCUGGUGUAGCGGUGAAAUGCGCAGAUAUCAGGAGGAACACCGGUGGCGAAGGCGGGUCUCUGGGCAGUAACUGACGCUGAGGAGCGAAAGCGUGGGGAGCGAACAGG
rnacentral:rRNA from 1 species